rnacentral:rRNA from 1 species
GACGAACGCUGGCGGCGUGCUUAACACAUGCAAGUCGAACGGGAAGGCCCUGCUUUUGUGGGGUGCUCGAGUGGCGAACGGGGGAGUAACCCGUGAGUUAGCUACCCUUGACUGUGGGGGAACUUCAGGAAAGUGGGGCUCAUAGCGGAUAGGAGCUCCUGCUGCAGGGUGGGGGUGGGAAAGGUUCGGCGGUUGGGGAUGGAAUGGCGGCUUAUCAGCUUGGUGGUGGGGUAGUGGGUUACCAAGGCUUUGACGGGUAGCCGGCCUGCGAGGGUGAGCGGACACACUGCGACUGAGCUACGGCCCGGCCUCGUACGGUAGGCAGCAGUGCAGAAUAUUGCACAAUGGGCUGAAGCCUGAUGUAGCAACGCCGCGUGCGGGAUGACGUCCAUCGGGUUGUAAACCGCUUUCGCCUGUGACGAAGCGUGAGUGACGGUAAUGGGUAAAGAAGCACCGGCUAACUCCGUG